UGUUAUAGGUGCUAUUUUACAUAGCUUAAUAGGGAAACAGUUGAGAGUACUGUACGGUCCCGCCGCUGUAAGGGGGAGAGCUUAUCAGAAAGGCCACUUUUGAAAGAAGGGAAGGCGAUAAGUUUGAUGAACCUAAGUCAGAAGACCUGCCUAUAAUGAA
rnacentral:ncRNA from 1 species